rnacentral:rRNA from 1 species
UACGAAAGGCAGCAGUGGGGAAUAUUGCACAAUGGGCGCAAGCCUGAUGCAGCCAUGCCGCGUGUAUGAAGAAGGCCUUCGGGUUGUAAAGUACUUUCAGUCGUGAGGAAGGUGUUAAGGUUAAUAACCUUAGCAAUUGACGUUAGCGACAGAAGAAGCACCGGCUAACUCCGUGCCAGCAGCCGCGGUAAUACGGAGGGUGCGAGCGUUAAUCGGAAUUACUGGGCGUAAAGGGCACGCAGGCGGUUAAUUAAGUUGGAUGUGAAAUCCCCGGGCUUAACCUGGGAAUGGCAUUCAAGACUGGUUAGCUAGAGUCUUGUAGAGGGGGUUAGAAUUCCAUGUGUAGCGGUGAAAUGCGUAGAGAUGUGGAGGAAUACCGGUGGCGAAGGCGGCCCCUGGACAAAGGACUGACGCUCAUGUGCGAAAGCGUGGGGAGC